GUGGUGAAAUUGGUAAACACGCUAGGUUCAGGGUCUAGUGCCCGAACGGGCUUGGGGGUUCGAGUCCCCCCGUCGGCACCA
rnacentral:tRNA from 1 species